rnacentral:rRNA from 1 species
ACGGGUGAGUAAUGUCUGGGAAAUUGCCUGAUGGAGGGGGAUAACUACUGGAAACGGUAGCUAAUACCGCAUAACGUCGCAAGACCAAAGAGGGGGACCUUCGGGCCUCUUGCCAUCAGAUGUGCCCAGAUGGGAUUAGCUAGUAGGUGGGGUAACGGCUCACCUAGGCGACGAUCCCUAGCUGGUCUGAGAGGAUGACCAGCCACACUGGAACUGAGACACGGUCCAGACCCCUACGGGAGGCAGCAGUGGGGAAUAUUGCACAAUGGGCGCAAGCCUGAUGCAGCCAUGCCGCGUGUGUGAAGAAGGCCUUCGGGUUGUAAAGCACUUUCAGCGGGGAGGAAGGGAGUAAGGUUAAUAACCUUGUUCAUUGACGUUACCCGCAGAAGAAGCACCGGCUAACUCCGUGCCAGCAGCCGCGGUAAUACGGAGGGUGCAAGCGUUAAUCGGAAUUACUGGGCGUAAAGCGCACGCAGGCGGUCUGUCAAGUCGGAUGUGAAAUCCCCGGGCUCAACUUGGGAACUGCAUCCGAAACUGGCAGGCUUGAGUCUCGUAGAGGGAGGUAGAAUUCCAGGUGUAGC